rnacentral:rRNA from 1 species
UACAGAGGUCUCAAGCGUUGUUCGGAUUCAUUGGGCGUAAAGGGUGCGUAGGUGGCGCCAUAAGUCAGGUGUGAAAUCUCGGGGCUCAACCCCGAAACUGCACUUGAUACUGUGGUGCUCGAGUACUGGAGAGGAGAGUGGAAUUUACGGUGUAGCAGUGAAAUGCGUAGAUAUCGGAAGGAAGACCAGUGGCGAAGGCGAAUCUCUGGACAGUGACUGACACUGAGGCACGAAGGCCAGGGGAGCAAACGGG